CCUACGGAUGGCAGCAGGGAGGAAUAGUGGUCAAAGGGCGGAAGCCGGAACCAGCCAAGUAGCGUGCAGGAUGACGGCCCGACGGGAUGUAAACUGCUUUUAUACGGGAAUAACGCGCCUUACGUGUAGGGCUUUGCAUGUACCGUAUGAAUAAGGACCGGCUAAUGCCGUGCCAGCAGCCGCGGUAAUACGGAAGGUCCGGGCGUUAUCCGGAUUUAUUGGGUUUAAAGGGAGCGUAGGCCGCAUGUCAAGCGUGCUGUGAAAGGUCCGGGCUCAACCCGGGCCUUGCAGCGCGGACUGGCGUGCUUGAGGCCGCGGGAGGCAGGCGGAAUUCGUCGUGUAGCGGUGAAAUGCUUAGAUAUGACGAAGAACCCCGAUUGCGAAGGCAGCUUGCUGCAGCGGAACUGACGCUGAUGCUCGAAAGCGCGGGUAUCGAACAGGAUUAGAUACCCGUGUAGUC
rnacentral:rRNA from 1 species